UCCAGAUGGAAGGCCGUCGAUAAGCAACCUGUGGGAGACUGUGACGGGGGAUGGAGAAUCUGGUCACCCGUGACAUUACUGAAGCAUGCGACGUACGUCACAGCUCGUGAUUGAUGAACGACACUUCUGCCUUCCUUUCCGGGAGAGCUGACGGAGGGAUGACUACACUUGUUAAAAUUAGCGUGCCGUAAGUGAAUGACGUGAGUCGGCAGCUUAAACUUCCGUCCGGCUGCAACGAUGUCACCACGACGUGCGUCACCUAUCAGUGUCAACGCGUCACCUAUUAGUGACAGGGCUGAGUGACAGUGGGACAGUCAACCCCGUCAGCUGCUGUUAGAGGAUGACAAUCGGUGUCGGUGAUCGGUAAAAUGCGACAAAGGCGCGACACGAGCGCCAAGGUUUGUCACCGCGUGAAUUCAUGUCACGCGCGCGUGAGGACCACCCCGAGCGAUUACGCGCCGUGACGUCACGCCGACACGGUCCGGGGACGCCGAUUGUCGCAGCAGGGCGUUAUUGCCUUGUACACACGUGUG